CCCAGGCACGGUGGUGCGAGCCUGUAAUCCCAGCAACACGGGAGGCUGAGGCAGGAGGAUUGCAGGUUGAAGGCCAGCCUUGGCAACUUCGUGAGACCCUGUCUCAG
rnacentral:sRNA from 1 species